CGACGAGGACGACCUCGACGAGGACGACGACGAGGACGACCUCG
rnacentral:ncRNA from 1 species